CCUCUGGAGCGUCAUACCAAACGUGAUUAGCUUAGGCGAAAGCGGACGCGAAGAAUGAGGAA
ncrna:unclassified sequences RAGATH-18 RNA